ACCCUAAAGAUUAGCAAUGUUGUCGGUUAAGAGAGGAGGAAAUGGAAACCUUGGAGAAUAAGAACAUGUGGUUUUAUUGGAACCUAAGUCAGUUUGAAUCCUACAUCUACACUCUCAAAUGAUAUGAAUAACUAGAAGAACAAAUGGAUGAAUAAUUGGAUGGAUAUACAGGAGAAAGGGUUCUACUGCAGUAAAAUAGGAAGGAUAUGUAUAAUACAAUAUAUUAGCUUUCUUAAUUGAAGUAUAAUAUUUAUAUAAAACACAUAAAUCUUAAGUGUAUUGCUUUAUAACAAUUUACAUAAUUGCCUUGUAAACUGCAUCAGAUGAGUAUAUUGAACAUUUCCCAAACCGAGGAAGGGCCGUGGAAAGAUCGCUUGGAUCCCAUCCUCUCUCCAGGGCAGAAGGCGACCUGGAGGCAGGAGGAGGAGAAUCUCUCUCUGUCUCUCUGUCUCCCCCCGCCCCCCCGUCGGAGGUCCAGGCUUCCGUUCAAGGCAGAAUUCUUCUUGACACUGCCCGCCUUCUCUCGAAGAGGCCGAAACCUCCCUAGAUCCACUUUCCCGUACAUCCUACAUAGACCUCUUUACAAGCCACCUUUCUAUCUCGAAUGGAUUCUUUCUACAAGGUCCGAAGC
rnacentral:lncRNA from 1 species